rnacentral:lncRNA from 1 species
UCUUCUCCUUUUCUACCUAUUUUAUCCCAAUAUGGCCCACUUUACUGAUACAUUAGGUCAUCCAAGUGACUUGUUCAAUUGCUUCUGCGGAAAGUAACUAUAGAUCUUACUCUUCAAAAACUAAGAAGGUGCCAUAGAACGCAUGAAAAUAAAACAGAAAAACUUGGAAGAAAUGCCAUCGGGGACUCUUUGAAGAUUAGUAGAAAUAGUUUUUCGUGGAAACGUAAAUAAAUUAUAUGGUUUGGAUAAUGCAACCAACUACGCUAGGACAUUCACUUCUGUGAUAACUUUUUCUUUUUAGAAACUUCAUUGUCCGUGAAUCGUUAGAAUUAAUGUCUUUGACUACUUCGCUGGAAUUUUUUCUUCUCAAUUCUAUCGUACAUUGAUUCUUUGAAGGCUUAUUUUUGUGAACCAUCUUUGGAGUUUCUUACACACAAUCUUACCAGAUAUACUUUUUGCUUUUCUCCCUUUUUUUAUGGAAAGUGAAAACUCAGUCUAAGGUGAGAGUCUUCAUGGGGGCAGCGGUUCUAAAUAGAAUCAACACUAAUGAUUUGCUUCAAACUCGUGGACCUCAGAGCAUGUUUUCUUCAGACUUUGUUUGAUGUUUUUUCACAGCUUAGAACAUGAUAGUCAUUUCUUCUCCAUUACGGAAGGACUGGAGGAUUGGAUUAGAUUAUUUUCUCCUUUUUGUUUCUUGAGCAUGGCUUCCGAUCAGAGGUUCUUCACCUCUGUGUUAUUUUUGCUGGGUGAUGAGUUCUUUGGUUGGAGAGAAAUGUCAGAUUCUUUAAGCAAAGGUUUUAUUCAUUUUGUGACAUUUGAUAGAGGAUGGUGCUUUUGACUUCUCUUUUGGCUAAACCCCACGGUUUCAUCAGGAGACUUCCUCAUCCACACUACAAAGGGAUUGGAUUGCCAUCUUGUAUUAAUAUAGCUUUUACUUUUGUUUUUCCUCUUUGAAGGAUAGUUUAUCUUCCUUUCGCUUGCAAUCUUUUUCUUUCAAGUUCUAAUACUAUUUCAUCUUUUAACUAUGGCAUUGCUUACAGAAAAAUGGAAAAUCUGGUUAGUGCAAUCAUUUUCACCACUUCCCGACCCAAUAAAUAGGCAAAGGAAAGACUACAAACACAAAAAUACUGAUGCUACUAGGUGUGCUUUUGUUCUUUGUUUAUCUAGUGACACUCUCCUUAUUUUAAGUAUUAGUUUAAACAAACAUGAUCACUUCUACACUCAACUUGAACUAUAUUAGUUUUUUUUUAAAAGAAAAAAUAGUAAAUAUGUAUUUGUGGCCCUCCACUAUUCACUGGUCUUGGUUUCUGU